UGGGGAAUAUUGGACAAUGGGCGAAAGCCUGAUCCAGCCAUGCCGCGUGAGUGACGAAGGCCUUAGGGUUGUAAAACUCUUUCGUCGGGGACGAUAAUGACGGUACCCGAAGAAGAAGCUCCGGCUAACUUCGUGCCAGCAGCCGCGGUAAUACGAAGGGAGCUAGCGUUGUUCGGAAUCACUGGGCGUAAAGCGCACGUAGGCGGAUAGUUAAGUCAGGGGUGAAAUCCUGGGGCUCAACCCCAGAACUGCCUUUGAUACUGGCUGUCUCGAGGUCGAGAGAGGUUGGUGGAAUUCCUAGUGUAGAGGUGAAAUUCGUAGAUAUUAGGAGGAACACCUGAGGCGAAGGCGAGUUGCUAGGCUGACACUGACGCUGAGGUACGAAAGCUAGGGGAGCGAACGGGAUUAGAUACCCGUGUAGUCCCUGAGCGGGCUGGCAAGGCGCAU
rnacentral:rRNA from 1 species